rnacentral:rRNA from 1 species
AUCGAUGAAGAACGCAGCGAAAUGCGAUAAGUAAUGUGAAUUGCAGAAUUCAGUGAAUCAUCGAAUCUUUGAACGCACAUUGCGCCCUCUGGUAUUCCGGGGGGCAUGCCUGUUCGAGCGUCAUUACAACCCUCAAGCUCAGCUUGGUAUUAGGCUCCACCUGCAAAGGCGGGCUGUAAAAUCAGUGGCGGUGCCAUUCGGCUUCAAGCGUAGUAAUUUUUCUCGCUUUGGAUGACCGGUUGAGUGCUUGCCAGCAACCCCAAUUUUUAUCAAGGUUGACCUCGGAUCAGGUAGGGAUACCCGCUGAACUUAAGCAUAUCAAUAAGCGGAGGAAAAGAAACCAACAGGGAUUGCCUCAGUAACGGCGAGUGAAGCGGCAACAGCUCAAAUUUGAAAUCUGGCUUUCGGGUCCGAGUUGUAAUUUGUAGAGGAUGUUUCGAACAUGGUCCGGUCUAAGUUUCUUGGAACAGAACGCUAUAAAGGGUGAGAGUCCCGUAUGCGACUGGGUGCCUACGUUCAUGUGAAACUCCUUCGACGAGUCGAGUUGUUUGGGAAUGCAGCUCAAAAUGGGUGGUAAAUUUCAUCUAAAGCUAAAUAUUGGCCAGAGACCGAUAGCGCACAAGUAGAGUGAUCGAAAGAUGAAAAGCACUUUGGAAAGAGAGUUAAACAGUACGUGAAAUUGUUGAAAGGGAAGCGCUUGCAACCAGACUUGCAUGCAGUUGAUCAUCCGGCGUUUUCACCGGUGCACUCGAUUGUAUUCAGGCCAGCAUCGGUUUUGGUGGUUAGAUAAAGGCCUUGGGAAUGUAGCUUCUUUCGGGGAGUGUUAUAGCCCUCGGUGCAAUGUAGCCUACCGGGACCGAGGACCGCGCUUCGGCUAGGAUGCUGGCGUAAUGGUUGUAAGCGACCCGUCUUGAAACACGG